rnacentral:rRNA from 1 species
CCUGGCUCAGAUUGAACGCUGGCGGCAUGCCUUACACAUGCAAGUCGAACGGCAGCACGGGAGCUUGCUCCUGGUGGCGAGUGGCGAACGGGUGAGUAAUACAUCGGAACGUACCCAGGAGUGGGGGAUAACGUAGCGAAAGUUACGCUAAUACCGCAUAUUCUGUGAGCAGGAAAGCGGGGGAUCGCAAGACCUCGCGCUCUUGGAGCGGCCGAUGUCGGAUUAGCUAGUUGGUGAGGUACAAGCUCACCAAGGCGACGAUCCGUAGCAGGUCUGAGAGGAUGAUCUGCCACACUGGGACUGAGACACGGCCCAGACUCCUACGGGAGGCAGCAGUGGGGAAUUUUGGACAAUGGGGGCAACCCUGAUCCAGCCAUGCCGCGUGAGUGAAGAAGGCCUUCGGGUUGUAAAGCUCUUUCGGCGGGGAAGAAAUGGCAACGGCUAAUAUCCGUUGUUGAUGACGGUACCCGCAUAAGAAGCACCGGCUAACUACGUGCCAGCAGCCGCGGUAAUACGUAGGGUGCGAGCGUUAAUCGGAAUUACUGGGCGUAAAGCGUGCGCAGGC